GUGGGACUGAGACACGGCCCACACACCUACGGGUGGCAGCAGUUGGGAAUCUUGCACAAUGGGGGAAACCCUGAUGGAGCGACGCCGCGUGGGGGAUGAAUGGCUUCGGCCCGUAAACCCCUGUCAUUUGCGAACAAAAUUUACAUUUUAAUAGAGUGUGAACUGAUUGUAGCGAAAGAGGAAGGGACGGCUAACUCUGUGCCAGCAGCCGCGGUAAUACAGAGGUCCCAAGCGUUGUUCGGAUUCACUGGGCGUAAAGGGUGCGUAGGCGGUCGGGUAAGUUUGAUGUGAAAUCUCUGGGCUUAACCCAGAAAUGGCAUUGAAUACUAUUCGGCUAGAGAAUCGGAGGGGGGACUGGAAUACUUGGUGUAGCAGUGAAAUGCGUAGAUAUCAAGUGGAACACCAGUGGCGAAGGCGAGUCCCUGGACGAUUUCUGACGCUGAGGCACGAAAGCUAGGGGAGCAAACAGGAUUAGAUACCCUGGUAGUCCUAGCUGUAAACGGUGCACGUUUGCUGUAAAAGGAAUCGACCCCUUUUGUGGCGAAGCUAACGCGUUAAACGUGCCGCCUGGGAAGUACGGUCGCAAGAUUAAAACUCAAAGAAAUUGACGGGGGCCUGCACAAGCGGUGGAGUAUGUGGCUUAAUUCGAUGCAACGCGAAGAACCUUACCUGGCCUUGACAUGCAAGUGGUAGAACCUUGAAAGAGGGACGAACCCGCAAGGGUAGCUUGCACAGGUGCUGCAUGGCUGUCGUCAGCUCGUGUCGUGAGAUGUUGGGUUAAGUCCCGCAACGAGCGCAACCCCUGUGUCCUGUUGCCACCCGGCCGAGAGGCUGGAGCACUCUGGACAGACUGCCUCGCUUAAACGAGGAGGAAGGUGGGGAUGACGUCAAGUCAGUAUGGCCCUUACGGCCAGGGCUGCACACGUACUACAAUGCCCGGUACAAAGGGAAGCAAGACCGCGAGGUGGAGCAAAUCCCCUAAAACCGGGCUCAGUUCAGAUUGUAGUCUGCAACUCGACUACAUGAAGCUGGAAUCGCUAGUAAUGGCGCAUCAGCUACGGCGCCGUGAAUACGUUCCCAGGCCUUGUACACACCGUCCGUCACAUCAUGAAAGCCGUUUGUACCCGAAGUCGUCGUGCUAACCGCAAGGAGGCAGAUGCCGAAGGUAUGGAUGGUGAUUGGGAUGAAGUCGAAACAAGGUA
rnacentral:rRNA from 1 species